UACGAAGGGGGGCUAGCGUUGCUCGGAAUCACUGGGCGUAAAGCGCACGUAGGUGGCGACGUAAGUCGGGUGUGAAAGCCCCGGGCUCAACCUGGGAAUUGCAUUCGAGACUGCAUUGCUGGAGUACGGAAGAGGAAGGCGGAAUUUCCGGUGUAGCGGUGAAAUGCGUAGAUAUCGGAAGGAACAUCAGUGGCGAAAGCGACUUCCUGGACCAAUACUGACGCUCAUGUGCGAAAGCGUGGGGAGCGAACAGG
rnacentral:rRNA from 1 species